GCGCACAAAGUCCACCUCGGGGGUCCGCAGGGAGGCGAUGAUGCCCGCCCGGUCUAGCACCUCCUCCACCCGCGCACACCGGCCCGUCAGCUCCCUCUGGAGGGUCUGGGGAAGGACGACGAUCAAGACGUUGUUGCCGUACUCCUUAGAGGACGCCACGGGAAGCCUCUCUUGAAUCCACAGCUGCAAAAAGAAAUAAAAGUUGGUUUGGGUUUUUGUAGCGAAAAAUCAAGUUGCACACUGUAUAUCCAUUUCCACGAUUGAUCUGAUUACCCUCAAACACAAGACAUAGCGUGGUGGUGUUACGGUAUGCGGAUAGACAUAGCAAAGAGAAAAACAAGAUGUAGAGGGGGAAAACAGUAAGUAAAGUGUAGGGAGCGGGCAGGACUGGAAGGACCGCUGCUGCUCACUAUCUCAUCCUCCAGGUCCUGAGCCACUUGGUGCAUCUCCUUGGACGCCAGCAGGAUGCGGCGUCUCUCCUUCAGGGGCUCAAUGAGCCGGACGAUGCGUGUCUCCACCACGCCUGACUGCUCUCCGCCUCCCCUGUUGCCGGCCACCCGCUGGGGCGGGCACACUCCCUGCAGGCUGCCCAGAUCGCUCACAUCCUUGUAUAUGUCCCCGAUCUGGGACUCCAUGGUCUGAGCCAGGAGGCGGAGGAGGAAUAAAAGGGAAGAACGUCAUGUGAGCCGAAAAGACAAAGGGAGGCGGUAAACGACUUAAUACAAAACAUGCUUCGGAUAUUUGAUAUCAUCGACUUUCAAUGUUGUGUAAGGGGGUCUCUUCCUGUUAUUAGCGUAUAAAAAAUGAUACGCUAAUACCGGCCCUUUGGAAGGUACAUUAUAAGCAACAUUUAUACAGGGGGAGUAUAAAGAAAUAAAUGCAUCAUGGAUAUCAAAUACAAAA